AUGACUAGUCAAUGCUUGCUGGAUUGGGCCUUGGUGCUACUUCUCACCACUACUGCAUUCUCUCUGGACUGUCACUUUCAAAGGUGCAAGGGCAACUGGGAGAUUUUAGAACAUUUAAAAAACCUAGGAGAAAAAUUUCCUCUGCAAUGUCUAAAGGACAGGAGCAACUUCAGAUUCUUCCAGGUUUCUAAAAGUAACCUGUUUUCAAAGGAAAAUGCCCUCAUUGCCAAAUAAGAAAUGUUACAGCAGAUAUUCAACACUUUCAGCCUUAAUGUCUCCCAAUCUUUUUGGAAUGAAAGCAGCUUGGAGAGAUUCCUAAGUAGACUUUAUCAGCAAAUAGAGAAGACAGAGGUGUGUUUGGAGCAGGAAACCAGGAAAGAGGGCCGUUCACUCUUGCAAAGGGGGAAUACCAUAUUUAGACUAAAAAAUUAUUUCCAAGGGAUUCACAACUACUUACACCACCAAAAUUAUAGCAACUGUGCCUGGGAGGUCAUCCAUGUUGAAAUCCGAAGGGGUCUACUAUUUAUUGAACAGUGCACAAGAAGACUCCAAU
rnacentral:lncRNA from 1 species